GCCUAGCUGGCUCAGUCAUGAGAGCAUGUGACUCAUGAUCUCAUGGUUGUGAGUUCAAGCCCCACGUUGGGCA
rfam:Canis lupus familiaris chromosome 7, whole genome shotgun sequence.